CUAAUCAAAUUCUAAUCAAAUCCUAGUCAAAUCCUAACCAAAUCCUAAAUAAAUCCUAGUUAAAUCCUAAUAAAUCUUAGUCAAACCUUAAUAAAUUCUAAUAAAAUCUUAAUCGAAUCCUAAAUAAAUCUUAACCAAAUCCUAAACAAACUCUAAAUAAAUUCUAACCAAAUUCUAAACGAAUUCUAAUUAAACUCUAAACAAACCCUAAACAAAUCCUAACCAAAUCCUAACCAAAUCCUAACCAAAUCCUUAUCAAACUCUAAUCAAAUCCUAAAAAAAUCCUAAGAAAAUCUUUAAUAAAUCCUAGUCAAAUCCUAAAUAAAUCCUAAUCAAACCCUAAUCAAAUCCUAAAAAAAUCCUAAUAAUUCCUAUAGUAGAUUUAAAUCUCAAUAACUAAUGAAUGAACCAUUGAUUUUAACUAAAAAUUUUCUCACUCUUUAACAAUUAAGUUAACAAUAAGUAAAUUGUUUUUGAAGAAGAUCAAAUUCACCAAAAAAAAGAUCAAUCGGAAUAUUUGCUCAGAUGUUGGCCAACCUCCUUUUCUAAUCUAAAUGUUAAAUUUUUAGUAUCAAUAUCUCCCUACUAAAGUAUUUAAUUGAUCUCAAAUUUCUCAAUAUGUAGAAAAGCAAGUCUAUUAUCUACAUGUAAAAUUUUCACUCCAAUCCAAUUGAUAGAUUCCAAGAAAUCUUAGAAAUCCUGAUUGGAUCUAAAACUCUAUUUUUCAAGACCCUGACCCACUUAAACCUUAAUAACCCUCGAUUCAACUCUUUGAUUAAGCUCAAACUUACUAAAUAUAUUGAAUACAUGUAAAUCCACAAACCUUUGAAAUUUCACUUAUGGAUCUAUUGCCAAACUUACAAAAUUCUCCAAAACUUAUCUCUUAUUUUAUUUCAUAAAUCCAGAGUUAUCCAAAAGAAACCCUAACUUUAUAAAGCUUUUACAAAGUCAAUACAAAUUUAAAUCACCUCAAAUUAAUGUUCAUUCAAACCUUAUGAAGUCUCCUUUCUAAUCUUAUUCUUUGAUCUGCUAAAGAACCCUUGAAUUAUCAUUGAAGUUCGAUUAUGUGCCUUGAGAUCUGAUUUCGAGCUUGGUUCAAAACCAACCCUCUUUGGGUAUCAAUAUCUAAUUUUUCUAAAUAAGUUUUGCUAGAAACUACUCUUAACUUCUUUCCAAAGGUGCUUAUAUUUUUUAUUUUUCUAAUCUAUCUUAUUUUGCUCUACUUGUGGUCCUACAAAGUAAAUAGAAGUCUAUUUUGGAAAAAAGUAAUAUUAGUACUUUUAAUUUUUCUAUCCUUUGACUAUUAUCUAUUUUUUUAGGAUAAUUUGUUAUAAUAUAUUUGAAAUAAGAUCUUCAGAAAUAUGAUAUUUUUUUCAUCUUUUCACCUAUUAGUUGUUUUACAUCGUGACACCGCCUUGAAUUUAAGACUUUGUCCACCUCAAAUUUUUAAUUAUCAUCUAUUUUUAUAAGACAAAGUGGCAUUUGUCUAUUUUUUAAGGUAUUCACUGUCUUUUAUGGCUCAAAAAGAGAUACAUAUAAUACAAGAUGGAUCUUCAUAGACUUUGAUAGAUAUAAUUGAUAAAUAAUAUGAUUGCUUUAUUUGCAAAUAGAAAAAGGUCCGAGCCUAUGAUAGUCCAACUUCUUAGAAAAAUGAGUAAUCUUAAUAUUACGAAAAAAUAAUAAUAUCUUAUCUCCUAUGUAGAAUUAUAUUUUUUCCUUAUAAUAGGCAUCUAAAUUAAUUUUUUGUCAUUCUUUAGCUUCUUUUAACUAUGCAUUUACAGUUGUAAGUAGCUUUGAUAAAUAAUUUAUCAAAUCUUCUUCCAUAAGAUAAUUAACUUUUGAAAAGUAAAAAACAUCAAAUUAUGGAUGAUAACCAAAAUCGAUAAAGAAUAAUAUUUAUUGAUUAGAAAAAUAUACCUAAUUAUUGUAUGCAAACUCUAUUAAUGGCAAAAAAGUUUUUUAAUUAUCUUAAUUAUAGUUUAUAGUAAACUUCAUAUAUUACUCUUGAAUUUAAUUUAUUCAUUAUGUUUGCUUAUCAGUUUGAGGAUGAAAAGCCAAAGAGAGCUUUAUAUCCACCUUUAAAAUCUUGAAAAAGAUUUUUUAAAAUCUUAUUAAAAAUUGAGUCUCCUUAUCCGAUAUAAUAUGCUUAGAUAAUCCAUGAUAGCAAUAGAUGUUGUCAAGAAAAAGCCUAGGGGGUUUUUUUUUUUUUUUUUUUUUUUUUUUACCUAUGACUGAUUUUCUACAUGGUACAAAAUAUUCUAUUUUAGUAAAAUGAUCUUCUAUCAUAAAUAUAAAAUGAUAUAAAUCUAAAUCUAAAAGAUUCAUGAUAAAAUCCAAAGAAAUAGAAGACCAUAUUUAUUUUAAAAUAGGUAAUGGCUAAAGAAGUUCAUAAGAUCAAUAAUAAGAAUUUUUUAAUCUUAAAAAAAUAUCACAUAAUAAUACAAAGUCUUUAACUGCCUUCUAUAUUUGAAGCCACCAAAAAUCUCUUAAUAUUAGCUCCAAAGUCUUAUUGUAUCCAAAAUAUUUGGCUACUAAAAAGUCUUGAUGAGCUUAAAGAACACAUAAUUAUACUUUAUUUUUUGUAAUAUAUAAUCAUUCUUCAAAAUAAAAUAGAUUAUUAUUGAACUUGAACUUGAAGAUAUUAUGAGACUUAAAAGAAUUAUUCUUGAUAUCAUGAAUAAGAAGAUCAAAGGACAUACUUAAUUAAAU
rnacentral:lncRNA from 1 species